CUAUAGAAUUCAAUUCUGCAGGCCUGUCCCCUUGCUGUAGUGUCCCAUGACAGAGCAAACUGUAGCCCCAAACCGUUGCCUGGGCUUGUCCAUAGGCCUGACACUGAAGUGGGCUGCAUGGUG
rnacentral:snoRNA from 1 species